rnacentral:rRNA from 1 species
ACACAUGCAAGUCGCACGAGAACUCCCUGGCUUGCCGGGGAUAGUAAAGUGGCGCACGGGUGAGUAACACGUGAGUAAUCUGCCUUCGAAUCGGGGAUAACCCCGCGAAAGCGGUGCUAAUACCGGAUGACGUCCGGAUGGUUUUGGCUGUUUGGAUGAAAGGUGGCCUCUACAUGUAAGCUACUGUUUGAAGAUGAGCUCGCGGACCAUAAGCUUGUUGGUGGGGUAAAGGCCUACCAAGGCAACGAUGGUUAGCUGGUCUGAGAGGAUGAUCAGUCACACUGGAACUGACACACGGUCCAGACUCCUACGGGAGGCAGCAGUGAGGAAUUUUGCGCAAUGGGGGAAACCCUGACGCAGCAACGCCGCGUGAGUGAUGAAGGCCUUCGGGUCGUAAAGCUCUGUCGAGUGGGAAGAACCCUGCAUUGGAGAUAAUAUUCCGAUGCACUGACGGUACCACUGGAGGAAGCACCGGCUAACUCCGUGCCAGCAGCCGCGGUAAUACGGAGGGUGCAAGCGUUAUUCGGAAUCAUUGGGCGUAAAGGGCACGUAGGCGGUUUGCUGGGUCGGAUGUGAAAUCCCGGGGCUUAACCCCGGAAGUGCAUUCGAAACUGGCAGACUUGAGUAUGGGAGAGGGAAGCGGAAUUCCUGGUGUAGAGGUGAAAUUCGUAGAUAUCAGGAGGAACACCGGUG